GUAGUCCACACCGUAAACGAUGAGAGCUAGUUGUCUGCAAGCAUGCUUGUAGGUGACGCAGCUAACGCAUUAAGCUCUCCGCCUGGGGAGUACGGUCGCAAGAUUAAAACUCAAAGAAAUUGACGGGGGCCCGCACAAGCGGUGGAGCAUGUGGUUUAAUUCGAAGCAACGCGCAGAACCUUACCUACCCUUGACAUGCCGGUCGAGUUUUCCAGAGAUGGAUUACGUCAACUCGGUUGGACCGUGCACAGGUGCUGCAUGGCUGUCGUCAGCUYGUGUCGUGAGAUGUUGGGUUAAGUCCCGCAACGAGCGCAACCCUCACUUUUAGUUGCCAGCAUUUAGUUGGGCACUCUAGAAGAACUGCCGGUGCUAAGCCGGAGGAAGGUGGGGAUGACGUCAAGUCCUCAUGGCCCUUACGGGUAGGGCUACACACGUGCUACAAUGACGCUGACAGAGGGUUAAUCCCUAAAAGGCGUCUCAGUUCGGAUUGUCUUCUGCAACUCGAAGACAUGAAGUUGGAAUCGCUAGUAAUCGUGGAUCAGCAUGCCACGGUGAAUACGUUCCCGGGCCUUGUACACACCGCCCGUC
rnacentral:rRNA from 1 species